UGUCUAAUACCGCAUAUGGUCUUCGGAUUAAAGCUUCGGCGGUUUGGGAAGAGCCCGCGUAAGAUUAGCUAGUUGGUGAGGUAAUGGGCUCACCAAGGCGACGAUCUUUAACUGGUUUGAGAGGAUGAUCAGUCACACUGGAACUGAGACACGGUCCAGACUCCUACGGGAGGCAGCAGUGAGGAAUUUCCACAAUGGGGCGAAAGCCUGAUGGAGCAACGCCGCGUGCAGGAUGAAGGCUUUAGGGUUGUAAACUGCUUUUAUAUGUGACGAAUAUGACGGUAGCAUAUGAAUAAGGAUCGGCUAACUCCGUG
rnacentral:rRNA from 1 species